rnacentral:rRNA from 1 species
CCCUUAGAUGUCCUGGGCCGCACGCGCGCUACACUGAUGCAUUCAACGAGUUUUACCUUGGCCGAGAGGCCUGGGCAAUCUUUUAAACCUGCAUCGUGAUAGGGAUAGAUUAUUGCAAUUAUUAAUCUUCAACGAGGAAUGCCUAGUAAGCGUGAUUCAUCGAAUCGCGUUGAUUACGUCCCUGCCCUUUGUACACACCGCCCGUCGCUCCUACCGAUUGAAUGUGUUGGUGAGGAGCUCGGAUUGGCAGCAGUUGGUGGUUCGCCACCGGCUAUUGCUGAGAAGUCCUCCAAACCGCCCCAUUUAGAGGAAGGAGAAGUCGUAACA